UACGUAGGGACCGAGCGUUGUCCGGAAUCAUUGGGCGUAAAGAGCGUGUAGGCGGCCCCUUAAGUCCUGCGUGAAAUCCUGCGGCUCAACCGCAGACGGUCGUGGGAAACUGGAGGGCUAGAGUGCGGGAGAGGAGAGUGGAAUUCCUGGUGUAGCGGUGAAAUGCGCAGAUAUCGGGAGGAACACCGGUGGCGAAGGCGGCGACCUGGGCCAAUACUGACGCUGAGGCACGAAAGCGUGGGGAGCAAACAGG
rnacentral:rRNA from 1 species